UAUGACCAUAUAACGUUGAAACAACACUUCCCGUACGAUCACCGAAGUUAAACAAGGCCCAGCCUGAUCAGUACCUAGACGGGUGACUGCUUGGAAAUAUCAGAUGUUGUAAG